UACGUAGGGCGCAAGCGUUGUCCGGAAUUAUUGGGCGUAAAGAGCUCGUAGGCGGUCUGUCGCGUCGGAUGUGAAAGCCCGGGGCUUAACCCCGGGUCUGCAUUCGAUACGGGCAGACUAGAAUGUGGUAGGGGAGAUCGGAAUUCCUGGUGUAGCGGUGAAAUGCGCAGAUAUCAGGAGGAACACCGGUGGCGAAGGCGGAUCUCUGGGCCAUUACUGACGCUGAGGAGCGAAAGCGUGGGGAGCGAACAGG
rnacentral:rRNA from 1 species